rnacentral:rRNA from 1 species
UACGAAGGGUGCUAGCGUUGUUCGGACUUACUGGGCGUAGAGCGCACGUAGGCGGUCUUUUACGUCGGGGGUGAAAUCCUGGAGCUCAACUCCAGAACUGCCUUCGAUACUGGAAGACUUGAGUCCGGGAGAGGUGAGUGGAACUGCGAGUGUAGAGGUGAAAUUCGUAGAUAUUCGCAAGAACACCAGUGGCGAAGGCGGCUCACUGGCCCGGUACUGACGCUGAGGUGCGAAAGCGUGGGGAGCAAACAGG